CGCGGCAGGAGGAAAGUCCGGGCAACACAGAGCUGCCAUACUUCCUAACGGGAAGGGGUGUGUGACGAAAGUCCCGCAUCACAGAGAGUGCCGCAGAAAGGAAAACCGCCAGCCGCAAGGCUGGUAAGGGUGAAAACGCGAGGUAAGAGCUCACGGCGCCGUCAGCGAUGCCGGCGUGGGUAAACCUUAUGGGUUGAAAGACCAAAUAUACCGGCAGUUAAGGGUUGGCUCGCCCGUUGCCGGGGGGUAGGUCGAUAGAGACGGCUGGCGACAGCCGUAGUAGAUAAAUGAUAGAAGGCCGGCGUAAGCCGGUUACAGAACCCGGCUUACAAGUUGUC
rnacentral:RNase_P_RNA from 1 species